rnacentral:sRNA from 1 species
ACGAAUGCAUUGUUUAUUUUAACAAUUUGUUUCUGUCAGCUUGUGGUUAUGCUUCCCACAGUGCUAUAGUAAAAUAGGGCUUUGAGAAAUGUGCUGUUGUUUCCUUUCAUAGCUGUCUCUUUCCUCUUCUUUUGGUCUUUCCUCAUCUGCCCCUCAGAGAACCUUUCCACUUCCUACCAGUCAGUCCAACAAAGUAGGGCCAUGCCGUUUCAGGAAACUGGAAUUUCUGAAAAGCCCAUUGAAUAUGGAAAGCAAUAUACCCCAGGAUAUGUCCUGCAGCUCAGAGUAAGAUGUUGCAAAAAGAGGAAAACUGACUGAUCUCCCACUUUGUGCUUUCAAAAAGAACAAAUACUUCAAAAACUUAGUUUCUCCCUCCUCCCCAUUACAGAAUCUGAUUUCAGCCCUGCACACUGUGCUCUCCUGGAUCCAUGGAUGCUAAGCUGCAGGUUCUGGAGGUGCCAACCCCUCAGAUGAAUUCAAUGUCUGCUCAACUCAGUCCAUUCAUUCACAGUUCCUGGAGUCUUUGCGUCCACCGACCCAGACGCCCAUCGCCGAUCGAGAGUAUUCCACGCAGCGGAUCGAGUUCCAGCAAGCAGAAGGAUCUUCAGUCACAGAGCACAUUGCAGAACUUACCUGACAGGCUGGACAGAACUAAGAGGCCUAUGCCCGGUUCUGAGUGUCCUGAUGACACAGGCAUCAUCAAAUGGAGGUCCCACCAAGAUUGGAAAAGAGAGGACAACCUGACGAGAUGGUCCCAGGAAGCCGGCCAGUGAAGGAGGAACGUAUUGGGGAAAAUGGGCCAGGAAAGGUCCCAGUAAGCAGGAUACAGAAGCACCGUGGGCAUUGAAAGCACGUGCAAAGAAAAAUAAAGAUUUGGGGUACUGGAAGAAGAAUAUCCCUCAUCCACGGUCUUUAGACCUUUGGCUGUUAACAAAGAUGUUCUAUCCAUUUCAAGGCCUGAUACAACUCUCCCUCUCCUCAGCAACUGAGUUGUAAUGAAGGAGUGAGAACUCUGAAGCUCUGGAAGGAGAGUGAGCGAAUGGGUGUUCCCUGGCUCAAAUGUGAGUCUCUGGAAAAGCCACUG